UACGGAGGGGGCUAGCGUUGUUCGGAAUUACUGGGCGUAAAGCGCGCGUAGGCGGACCUGCAAGUCGGGGGUGAAAGCCCGAGGCUCAACCUCGGAACUGCCUUCGAUACUGCGGGUCUCGAGUCCGGGAGAGGUGAGUGGAAUUCCUAGUGUAGAGGUGAAAUUCGUAGAUAUUAGGAAGAACACCAGUGGACGAAGGCGGCUGCACUGGCCCGGUACUGACGCUGAGGCGCGAAAGCGUGGGGAGCAAACAGG
rnacentral:rRNA from 1 species